rnacentral:rRNA from 1 species
GUACCUACGGGGGGCAGCAGUAGGGAAUCUUCCACAAUGGACGAAAGUCUGAUGGAGCAACGCCGCGUGAGUGAAGAAGGGUUUCGGCUCGUAAAGCUCUGUUGGUAGUGAAGAAAGAUAGAGGUAGUAACUGGCCUUUAUUUGACGGUAAUUACUUAGAAAGUCACGGCUAACUACGUGCCAGCAGCCGCGGUAAUACGUAGGUGGCAAGCGUUGUCCGGAUUUAUUGGGCGUAAAGCGAGUGCAGGCGGGUUCAUUAAGUUUGUUGGAAAGCCUUCUGGUCCACCCGGGAA